rnacentral:lncRNA from 12 species
AUGACGGUCGCAGCAGCAAGCAGGAGCUGGGGCGGGGGGUCGUGCAGCGCGCCCCUCCCGUGGCCUCAGAUGGCCUCUGAGCCCCUCCCCCUCUCUGGGAAAGUAAGCUGGCGCCGGGCCCCCCGAGAAUACACCCCUGUUGGCCCGCGGCGGCGAGCUCGGUGGCCCAGGGAGGCGUGCAUUCCCCGCGGGCUGCCCCAGCCCCGGUGUCCUCCACAAGGGAGGCACAAUUGCGUGUCCACACCCCCCCACGCUGGGAACAGACCCAGUGCCCUUAGACAAGGGCAUGGACAAGCCAGCUGUCCGUUCACACGGUGGACAGCCACCCAGUGGUGGAAGGAGCAAGUCCCCGAGACGCGCGCCGUGGAGGGAACCUCGACUGUCAGGCCUCUGAGCCGGAGGCGUGCUGCAGGAUCCCAACCCAAUCCAGUGUACGUGGCGUGUGCAGCGCGCACCUGCCGAGUGGGCUUCGAGUCUGCAAGCCAGACACGGGAGGCGAGUGGUGCGGAGGCGGCCCGGGUCAGGCGGGGGCAGCGGAGCCGAGAGCGACAGGGAGCUGUUCACGAGGAGACACAGUUUCUGGAUCUUUCCUCUUCUCCUCCACGUGGUGACUCUCGGGGGGCUCCCGCGCGAUGCCAGUCAGCUUCCGAGGCACAGAAACGCGCAUACGCGGUGGACGAGAUCGCAUCUCGCCUUCCAGGGGGAGACCCGUCUGGGAGAGACACGCGUCCAGCGCGCCAGGCUGCGCUCGGGUGGGGUCUCCCGGGGCGGGGGAGCCUCGCCGGGGCUGCCCUGCUCCUCGCUCCACCUUCUUGGCCCCAGUUCUCAGACCCGUUACGCCUCGCACCUGCCACCUGCCGCCGCCCUGCAGCCACUGCCUGGCAUCUUGGGUCCCCAGGGUGGGCCUGGGUGCUGUGCCCGGGUGCUGUGCCUGUGGCCCCGUGGGGAUGAGGGAGAUGGGAAGGGGAGACUGAG